GACGAACGCUGGCGGCGUGCUUAACACAUGCAAGUCGAACGGAAAGGCCCUGCUUUUGUGGGGUGCUCGAGUGGCGAACGGGGGCGUAACACGUGAGUAACCUGCCCUUGACUUUGGGAUAACUUCAGGAAACUGGGGCUAAUACCGGAUAGGAGCUCCUGCUGCGUGGUGGGGGUUGGAAAGUUUCGGCGGUUGGGGAUGGACUCGCGGCUUAUCAGCUUGUUGGUGGGGUAGUGGCAUACCAAGGCUUUGACGGGUAGCCGGCCUGAGAGGGUGACCGGCCACAUUGGGACUGAGAUAGGGCCCAGACUCCUACGGGAGGCAGCAGUGGGGAAUAUUGCACAAUGGGCGGAAGCCUGAUGCAGCAACGCCGCGUGCGGGAUGACCGCCUUCGGGGUGUAAACCGCUGUCGCCUGUGACGAAGCGGGAGUGACGGUAAUGGGUAAAGAAGCACCGGCUAACUACGUG
rnacentral:rRNA from 1 species